AAUCAACGCUGGCGGCGUGCCUAACACAUGCAAGUCGAACGCGAAAGUCCCGCAAGGGAUUAGUAGAGUGGCAAACGGGUGAGUAACACGUGGGUGACCUACCUUCGAGUGGGGGAUAAC
rnacentral:rRNA from 1 species